rnacentral:lncRNA from 1 species
AUUUGAAUAAGGAAUCUUUUCAGUCAAGAAUGCAAACAUUAAAAUUUUUUUCAUCUCAAGCACGCAGUAUAAGAUUUCUGCCCACGAAGCAGUUCGGAUCCUUGGUCUUUUCUUCCCCUUCGAGGUUGAUUUUUCUACUGCAGUGUCUGGGCAGAUGUGACCGAGGGGUGCCAUUCCCUCAUGAAUAUUUUUAACAGCUAAUGGAAUGAAAUGGGUCUUUCUAGGAUUUUCUGGCACAGACACUAAAGAAUAGAAGGAAUGUUUCAUUAGGUAAGACCACAUGUUUCUCACUGAUGGAAUAAAAAAGGUACUGAUACAUAAUUGAAAAGGCUGAGGAUUUUAAUGACAUUUUCCUCUUCAUUAUAUUCUUUGUUUUUUUUUUUAAUAGGUAAGUGAUCCCUGAGAUAAAUGAAUAGAAAAUCAAGGAAAAAUUAAGAGGAAAAAUCAUGGAAGGCAUAUGAUGGACCAGGAUGCAUUUCCAUAAGGCAGGGUGAGAAGACCUAUGUCUUCAGAAAUUUAAGAGAAAUAUGUCUUCAAAGGCAAAGUCCACCAAGAUGCUCAGUAUAAAAAAGCAGCACCUAUUGCGUAAGAAGCAGAAAAGAAGAUACCUAGGAGUGCAAUUUCUGAUUGAAAUGAUUGAUUAUCCCUUAUUUGAAAUGCAUGGCACCAGAAGUUGUUUCAGAUUUCAGAUUUUUCAGAUUUGGAAUACUUGCAUGUACAUAAUGAGAUAUCUUGAGGAUGGAACCCAAAUCUCAACACAAAAUUUAUUUAAAUUUAUUUAUAUUUUAUAUAUACCUCAUACACAUAGCCUGAAGGUAAUUUCAUACAAUUUAAAAAUAAUUUUGUACAAAAGGUUGUGUUAAAGUCUUAUGUGUAAAAUUUUCCACUUUGGCAUCAUGUUGGCACUCAGAAAAUUAUUAGAGCAUUUCAAAUUUUAUAUUUUCAGAUUAGGUGUGAUCAGUCUGUAGUAAUAUUUCUUUUCUCAAGUGUAUAUUUUUACCACUCCAGUUAUUUAAUAAGUAAAUAUUUAAACUGUAAAGUUUACAUAGUAUAUAUUUUACAAUUCCUGUAUGUUCAAUCUAUCUGUGUCUUUGAAUCUGAACUGUUUCUCUUGUAAAUGGCACAUACAUAGAUAAUGCUUUUUUGAUCAAAUCUGAUAAUCUCUACCUUUUGAUUAGUGUGUAUUUAGACCAUUAAUAUUUAAUAUAUUUACUCACCUGUUUGGCAUUUUGUCUACCUUUUAUUUGUUUUCUAAAUGUCUCUUGUCAUUUUCUGUUCCACCUUUUGUGUUGACAAAUAUUCUUAGAAUUCUAUUUUAAUUUUUCUAUUGAUUUUUAAAACAUAUUUCUGAGUUUUUUUUUGGUGAUUGCCAUAAAAAUUACAAUAUGCAUUCUAACUUACCAUGUUCUACCCAAGUGGCUAAAUUUCAAUUAAAUAUAGCAACUUAAUGCCAUUACAUAUAGCAGUUUUCCUCUCUAUUCACCAUCUUUUUGCAAUUAUUUUCAGAUAUAUUAUAUAUAAGUAUGUUAUAAAUCCCAAACAGAGUUUUAAUCGUUACAAGUAUUGCUUGAUAAAAUAUAUGUCUUUAAAUAAUUAUAAGAAGAAAAGAGAAAAUAUUUUAUGCAUUUCAUAUUUCCUCACACUUUUACCGUUUUCUGGCCUUCAUUUCUCCCUAUGGAAUCUGGUUACCAUCUGGUGUCAUUUUUUUUCAGCCAGAGAUACUACUAUUAGCAUCUUAUAAGACAGGUCUCACAGCAUUUAUUUCUCUCAGUCUUUGUUUAAAUAAGAAUGUUAUUUUUUGGCCUUCAUUUUGAAGUUGCUGGAUGUAGUGUUCCUUGUUGACUAUAAUUUUCUUUCAGUACUUAGAAAAUUUCAUUUCACCACUUUUUGGCUUCUAUUAUUUCUGUUGAGCAGUUACCAUUUUUUGGUUUGUUUUGGUCAACUGGAAAAUUAAUAUGAGAAAGUAUUAUUUUAAAAAAUUCUUUAUACAGUCUUCUUAGCCUUAUCCAAAAAUAUUAUCACUAAAUAAGUGAUAUUAUGACCCUGGAAUUAACCAUCAAUGCAUGGUAUAUAGACAACAAAUUAUUCAAAGACAAUUUUUUUAAAGCAAUUAUUUUGUACAAUGUGCUUGCAUGCAAUUUUUUUUAACUUUUGUUUUAGGUUUUUGAACACAUGUGAAGGUUUUUUAUGUGUGUGAAGUCGUGUUACAGGGGGUUUUGGUAUAAAUUAUUUCAUCACCUAGGUAUUAAGCAGGUACCCAAUAGUUAUUUUCCUGCUCUUCUCCCUCCUCCCAUCCUCCAGUCUUAAUUACAACCUAGUGUCUGUUGUUCUACUUUUUGCAUUCAUGAGUUCUCAUCAUUUAGCUCCCACUUGUAAGUGAGAACAUACACUAUUUGGUUUUCUCUUCCUAUGUUAGUUUGCUAUGGAUAGUAGCCUCCAGCUCCAUCGUUUUCCCAUAAAAGACAUAUCAUUCUUUGUUGAUGGCUACAUAGUAUUCAAUGGUGUGUCUGUACCACAUUUUCUUUAUCCAGUUUGUCACUGAUGGGCAUUUUAGGUUGAUUCAUGUCUUUCCUAUUGUGAAUAGGGCUGCAAUGAACAUUUGUGUGCAUGUGACUUUAUGGUAGAAUGAUUUAUACUUUUUUGGCUAGAAUGGAAUUGCUGGGUGGAAUAGGUAGUUCAGCUUUUUACUCUUUGAAAGAUUGUCAUACUGCUUUCCACAGUGGUUGCAGUAAUUUACACUCCCAUUAACAGUAUAUAAGUGUUCCCUUUGUAACCUCUCCAGCAUCUAUUUUGAUUUUUUAAUAAUGGCCAUUCUAACUGGCAUAAGAUGGUAUCUUAUUUUGGUUGUUUUGAUUUGCAUUUCUCUAAUGAUCAGUAAUAUUAAGCUUUUUUUAUAUGCUUGUUGGCCACAUGCCUGUCUUCUUUUGAAAAGUGUCUGUUCAUGUUCUUUGCUCACUUUUUGAUGAGUUUGUUUGUUUUUCUCUUGUAAAUUUGUUUAAGUUUCUUAUAGAUCUUGGAUAUUAGACAUUUGUCAGAUGCAUAGUUUGCAAAUAAUUUCUUCCAUUUUGUAGUUGAUAGUUUCUUUUGUGGCACAGAAGUUCUUAAGUUUAAUUAGAUCCCACUGGUCAAUUUUUGCUUUUGUUGUGA